rnacentral:lncRNA from 1 species
AAUGUUCUGCAUUCAAGAUUUUUGUUUGAUUUAUCGACCCUUCUUUGAAAUGUUCUCACGAGCGGUGUGAUCUUUUCCUUAAUGAGGUUGAUGCUCUUCGUUUUUGUUUGCCGUUCUCUUUUCCAUUAGUAGUGAGAUAUUCUGCUUAUAUAACUGUUAAGAUGUUCCACAUCGGUAGAGGGAUGGGAAUUUGAUCUCCUUAUAUGGACUUGGACAAACCUCCCCUCAUGAGCUAGUUUUUGGGGUUGAGUUAGGCCCAGGUGCCAUAUCUUUACAUGGUAUCAGAGCCAGGCCCAUACCAAUUUGUUGUUCACCGAUAAUGGGCCCCCAUUUAGAAGUGCUCACGCUCCAGUUGAGGUCUGGGUGUGCGGGGAGUGUUAAGAUGUCCCUCAUCAGCAGAGGGAUGAGAAUUUGGUCUCCUUAUAUGGACUUGGACAAACCUCCCCUCAUGAGCUAGUUUUUGG